rnacentral:lncRNA from 1 species
AGCUUGAGUUCUGAAGGUCAGGAGCUGGAUGGUGCCAUGCGUCCAUGUCAUCGUGGACAGUGCACUUCAAAAAUCUGCAUAUAUGUUUCCCACAGCAUUAACUCUAGCCAAAGGAUCUAUAAUUGUUCCCACUUGCAAGCUUCUGUUUCUCAUUGUAGUCGGAUACUUGAUUCUGCAUUCAUACUUUUCCUUUCUGUAUAUAUUAUUACUUGCAUGAAGUUGUUGCUCAAUGUAGACAAUCUCAUGUGCCUCAACUCUGAUAUCAGCAAGGAUUUAAAUUGCUGGUAUUGUGUUAACUCUUUGUACGCAUCAAUGUGCUGGCUGAACACAAGCAGGGCCACAUUCUGUAAUGGCACGUGCUGAGUUCAUGAAGGGUCUGUGAAUUGUAACUUGAUCGGCGUAGCUGAGUAGCUGGCCGGUGUUUGCCCAGUUGUUUGUGUCUUUUAGCAGCCAGACAUUUGCCUGCCGUGUUUUUUCCCUGGUUUCAUUCCGGAAGGUUGAUUGCUGGAAGGCUGGAAGCUGAUCAACCAUGCAGGCUGAUGUCCGAAUCAGUUGAGCACAUCAAACAACACCUUGUUUGUGGCUAUGUGCUACCCUUUGUCUGCUGUUGCCGGCAUCUGCAGCUCUGCACGAUCCCGGACCUGAACAAACAUCAAGCUCGCGGUCAGCCGCGAGCCCGCGACCCACAUCCCCAAUCGGCCCCGCCUAUCUCUACUGAGAACAAGCAGAUCGCGCCCAGAUUGAGCAUCUGAGCUGUCUGUUGUUUGUGUUGCCGCGUAAAUUUCAGAGCCUGUUAUUUCUAGAUGUCAGCUUUGACCGACGCGGGGUCCGUCUGUUUCUUCCACGAACCGGUAGACGGGACUGCCGUGCGGACAAACCUGUAAUCCUGAUCCUGUGGUUGGCUGAUGAUUGACUAGCCUUUUUUUUUUGCCUGUUUGAGUCUGACGACGUGAAGGGAGCAUGGGAGCACGAUGGGCAUGGAGAGCUACCUGCGGCGGGGAACGUGUGGCGAUCUCUCUUGUCCGACCACCGGCCCGUAGCUUAGGGUCGUCCCAUGACCAUCUGAUGAUCUGAACGCAUACUAACCAACCAAUCACUAAAGCGACUCGUGGGUGUUUGGAUACGAGGGGCUAAACUUUAGCAGGGUCACAUCGAAUGUUCGAAUGAAGACUAAACAUGAGAUAAUUACAAAACUAAUUACACAGAUGGAGUCUAAUUCGUGAGACGAAUCUAUUAAGCCUAAUUACUUCAUGAUUUGAUCCAUCGUUAGCAAAUCGUUACUGUAGCACAACAUUAUCAAAUCAUGGACUAAUUAGGCUUAAUAGAUUCGUCUCACAAAUUAGACUCCAUCUGUGUAAUUAGUUUUGUAAUUAGACUAUGUUUAAUACUUCUAAUUAGUAUCAAAUAUCCGAUGUGACGGGCACUUAAAAGUUAGCACACCCCUAAAUCCCUAAAUGAUCUCCCAUCCCAAGGAUAUUAUUGUUAACUUCAGUCGAUUAGUGAAGUAAAUAAUCUUCUUUCAGCCCCAGCAAAUGCAGUGGUAACCGAGUUCGCCUUUCGGCCCUCGUCUGGCGAACCUGCAGGACAGGGUGUGCGUACGUAGACGCUGUCACGUUGACUCGUGUACCCGACAGAAAAACCAUGCUAACCCGCGUCUUCCAUAAAGAAAGUUCAGCUCAAGCAAAGAAAAAGGAGGUCAAGGAACUUUCGAGUUCAACAUGCCAGCAACAUCAACGCCGCCGCGCAGGCCGCACGUAGCGGAGCGGCCGAAUAAUUGUCACGCCGGCCGCCGGGAAUCGCGUCGACCCGCCGCGCGCUUCUUCUAGUUCUCGAGCCACAUCUUCUUCCUCGCCCAACCACUCGGUGUCCAACGGCAGCCAGCUGCCUGCCAUUGUCACCGCUCUCCACCCAUCUCCCCCUCGAUCGUCCGCGUCUCCCUUCGCCAUAUAGAGCCAGGAUUAUUUCAAACCUGAGGCGUGUGUGAUAUACAUCUUGUGCUAGCUUGGCUCGCGAGCAACUUGGUGAUUUGCUGCUGAUCCACCGUGGUUGCUGCCGCUUCUCGGAUUGAAGUUUCAGGCCGGCACGCCAAGAUUUGAGGAUGUGGUGUUGCAGCGGCGCGGAGGAGGAGCCCCUGGCCGUCCCGCCGGCCGGCAACCCGGCCUACACGCCGCCGCGAGCACCAGGUUCCUUCCUCUCCUUCGCUUUGUUUCAUUUCCUUUUGCUCUAGUGGCUUCAUGGCACCCUGCUGCUUGAUCGAUCAACAUCAUCAUCCACGGAUAAUGAGAUGUGACAGCAAUCUCACCGUGCGCAUUCGCUCCUUGUUGCCAUGCCCAUGCGUAACGCGCAGCAGCCCAUCCGAGAGGGCCGAGCAUGCCGAGGCCCGGCGCGGCGUCGGCGGCCAAGGUGCUGCCCAUCGACGUGCCGGCGUUCCCGCUGUCGGAGCUGAACCGCCUGACGGGCAACUUCGGGGACAGGGCGCUGGUCGGGGAAGGCUCCUACGGCCGCGUGUACCGCGCCAAGCUCGGCACCGGGGAGGCGGUGGCCGUCAAGAUGUUCGACAACGGCGGCUCCUCCGGGCAGUCGGAGGCCGAGUUCUGCGAGCAGCUGUCCGUGGUGUCCCGGCUCAAGUGCGAGCACUUCACCCAGCUGCUGGGCUACUGCCUCGAGCUCAACAACCGGAUCGUGCUCUACCAGUUCGCCACCAUGGGCUCCCUCUACGACAUACUCCACGGUAUGGACGGCCGUGAAUGGCACGGGAACGCACGUUAGAAACCACACACCAUUACGGCACUGAGAUAUCGAUUGCAUUGCUUCGCAGGGAAGAAGGGGGUGCAGGGGGCGGAGCCGGGGCCGGUGCUGACGUGGAGCCAGCGCGCCAGGAUCGCGUACGGGGCGGCGCGGGGGCUGGAGUACCUGCACGAGAAGGCGCGGCCGUCGAUCGUGCACCGCGACGUGCGCUCCAGCAACGUGCUGGUCUUCGACGGCCACGACGCCAAGAUCGGGGACUUCAACCUCACCAACCAGUCCCCCGACUCCGCCGCGCGCCUGCACUCCACCAAGGUGCUCGGCACGUUCGGAUACCACGCGCCCGAGUAUGCGAUGACGGGCCAGCUGACACAGAAGAGCGACGUGUACAGCUUCGGCGUCGUGCUCCUUGAGCUCCUGACCGGGAGGAAGCCCGUGGAUCACACCAUGCCCAAGGGGCAGCAGAGCUUGGUCACCUGGGUAGACUCCAUUUUCCAUCCAGCAUCUGUUUCAGAGUACACGCACGGUGCCGUUCGUCUCUCGGGUCAGUUAAAACAAGUUGCCUGAAAAUUCUGUUCCAGGCCACUCCAAGAUUGAGCGAGGACAAAGUGAAGCAGUGUGUGGACCCCAAGCUGAAGGACGACUACCCGCCGAAGGCCGUGGCAAAGGUACGCAACGCCGCCGUUGAACACGGCAUCUUUCCCUGCGCUAGCAUCGCCUGGCUCGCAUCUGCUUGCACUCUUCAUGAUGAUCGUCCUGUUGAUCCGUUUGAGUUGCUCCUCUGCGCAGCUCGCGGCGGUGGCGGCGCUGUGCGUCCAGUACGAGGCCGACUUCAGGCCCAACAUGACCAUCGUCGUCAAGGCCCUGCAGCCCCUCGUGACUGCUCGGCCUGGAGGAGAUCACCCGUAGCCUAGAUAGACAGUGCGGCAUGUGCAUGUUCCUGCCAGUCAUCCUGUGCCAAACUGCAAUCGAGCGGUUUUUUGAACUUUUUGUACUUCACGUUUACGGCGCUGUAGUCAAAUUGUUGUCACAAGAACGGCCUGCUUGGCCAAUCUAAGAGAGUGUAAACGAACCAUUUUACUUGUAAAAUCUGGAAAUAAUCUAUCGCGAAUUCGCACUUAAAACAGGGCAGUAUUCAUAGGUGGCUCCAACACGUCACCUAUUUCGAUGAUCGCGGCUCAGAAAUUCUACCUCCAAUUGCAGAGUUGAAAAUCCAAGUCCAAACCUGGCAACACGAAAAGCUAAAAAUUCUUGGAAACUCAGAACGAAAUUACAAUCUUAUGUGCCGGCCUGCCGGGGCUCUACUACAAAUCUGGAACAAAAAACAUUUGGCAGAACGAACAAGAUUCGAGGCCCAUGAGCCCAACUAAACCUUACACAAGUCACGCUUGAAUCAGGCCCAGUCGCCGGCUCUCCUUCCACCUGAACCUUUGUCCGUUUCCCUCUGCUCAGUUGUCAGCUCAUCUGCCACGCCCGCCCGUCUUCUGUUGCCGCAGUCAGGUCGGCCGGCGACAGACAAAGCGAGCUGCUUUGCUAAUGCACGCGAAAGAACGUCAGCGAGAUCAUGUCAUGGGCUCAUGGCCGCGCCCAUCGCAAACGGGAUCCGGACACGAGCAUCUCAGCAUGGGCGUACGGCAUUGGCAUGGCGCCGCUGCCGCCAUCCUCCUCUGCUCUAUCCUGAUAGAUCCAGAGUUGCCGUCGACACGCUGGCCGGCGUGCGCCUGCGCGGGGGGAACCAGUUAAAAAUUCCUGCAGAUCUACAGAAUGUCCCCCCACCCAUUACGGGAGAACUCGCUAGAAGGCGCUGGCCGCUGUGCUGGGCCGGGCUGCCUCGGUUUCCCCUCUUCUUCCCCGAGCUCGGAGGCUCGGAGCGUAGCCGGAUGGGGCGCACGUGCGCCCACGUGCCCGUCACAUGCCCGUGUCCUCAAGUGGAAAGCCCCAUGCCCCCAUCCCCCGAGAAGGAAAGUCACGGAGCCAGCCGCGGCCCCCGAAGAAAGAAACGUUCCUCCGACAGCUUCGGUAAAAUUGAUACCUAAAAACACUUUUAGCAUAGGAGAGAGAAAGAGAAAAAUUUAGAUACUCCAACGUUGCCUUCUCCAACAGUAUACGUAAAACUGAAUACGUAUAUUUCACCAAAGGACUAAUCCGCAAGUGAAAUCUUUUUUCAAGGGCUGAUCUGCAAACUUAUCUCCUCCUUUUCCCUCACCUCUUCUUCCUCCUCACCCCGCGCCGCUCCUCUCCUCUCGCGGCAGCAGCGCCGCCGCUUCCCUGCUCUCCUCCACCCCCGGACCGAAGUCGGCCACUUCUCCUCCACCAGCCUCUGUACAAAUCGCAGCCGCGUCCAUGUUGCUCCAACGGCGGCAGUCCAACGGCGGCCGGAGAUGCGCGAGCUCGCCUGCGCGGCGGCGCUCAUCCGCCCGUCCCCGUGGCUGGAUCCGCGAAGCUUGCUCUCGCGGUGGCGCUCGCCCGCCCUCCCCGUAGCAAGGCCGGCGGAGUUUUGCCGCGUGCGCCGGGGCCUCGAGAAGGAGGGGGGGAGGCGGCGAGGAGGCCAAAUCGAUGAGCAGCGCCCCCCCCCCCCCCCCCCCCCCCCGGACUCCUCCGGCAGCCCAACCAAAUCGAGCUCAAAUCCCGCCGUUGCUCCCUUCCCCGUGCCGGCCCGCCGCACUCCCACGUCCGGUGUCCCCAGCCGACGUUGGAGAUGCGGAUCGGUGGGAGACGCAUAGCCGGUGGAAGUUUUCACCAAGUGGCAGUUGGCUCCUCCGGGUGAACGAAGAAAUUUAGCAAUCCACUCUUUGGAUUUGAUAUAUUUGGGUCAAGGAGGGAGAUAGCCUAAAAAAAUUUAGGACCUGUUGAAACAGUUUUUUAAGCUUUUGAUAAUUUUUAGGAUAGCAAUCCAAUAAAGGGCCUGUUGGGCUCCUAACACCCGUCGAUGUUUGAUGCUAAUUAGGAGUAUUAAAUAUAGGCUAAUUAAAAAAUUAAUUGAAUAGAUAGAGUGUAAUUCGCAAGACGAAUCUAUUAAACUUAAUUAGUUCAUGAUUUGAUAAUGUGGUGCUACAAUAACCAUUUACUAAUGAUAGAUUAAUUAGGCUUAAUAAAUUCAUCUCGCGAAUUAGCGCAGGAUUCUGCAAUUAGUUUUAUAAUUAGUUCAUAGUUCCGCUAAUUAGCAUCUGGAUAUUCGAUGUGACACUAUUUAGUACCUCGUACCUCGUAUGCCGGAGAUGCUCUCCGAGAAAACACGAGCCGACGAGGAAAUGGCUGCCGCAGCUUUGCUUGCGGUCAGCUCGAUGAUUUCCUCCCCUGCGCCCUGUCAGCGUCAGCUCCAGCGCUGCAAACUUGCCAGCUGAUGAGGAGAUUACGAGCAGGCUAAUCUCCCUCUUAACCCUAACCUCACCGAUCCGUUAACCAUCCGUCCUGAAUACACGGCCGUGCUGCACGUCCGUACGUACCAGUCCAUUACCAUGUUGCAUUAGAAAAAAACCUUUUCAGUACUAGUACCAACAACGCUAGGAGUUGUUUACGAGGUGCCUAGAUUGCCCAAAUCAUUUUUCGCAAAAAAAAAAAAGAUUGCCCAACACCUGCAGAGUACAAAUUGGAGAAGAAAACUCGCGUAGAGUAGCAACAUGCACGUCGUCGUCGCGUUAGGAAAAAAGCAGUGCAGCAGGUGAGUUCGGCAGACGAGGCCAUGGGGCGGAGGCUGACCGAUUACUAAACCGGGUAAUCAUCUGUCCUGAAUUUAACGGCCGUGCUGCACGUCCGUCCGUACCAUGCUGAGUAUUUUUUUGAAUAUACAGGAGAGAAUACGUAAGAGAACUGCGUGCGCUCAUCCAAGUUCUCAGUACCAACGAGGCAACGACGCUACAAGUUGUUUAUUAAAGUGAUGCCUAGAUUGCCCAAAUCAUCAGCACUGUACUCCGUAGCAUACUACAAAUUGGAGAAGAAAACUCGCGUCGAGUAGCAACAUGCACGUCGUCGUCGCGUUAGGAAAAAAGCAGUGCAGGUGAGUUCGGCAGUCGAGGCCAUGGGGCGGAGGCUGACCGCCUUACUAAACCGGGUAAACAAAGCGCGGGCUCGAACCAGCGCUCGACACCUACCGCUGCGCUCCCAUCCGCGCCGGGCAUGGGCGCCGGGUCGGCGCGCGCCCCACACCCCCGUCGUCGAGUGUCGCAGGGCCCCCACGCCACGCUCCCCCACCCGCUAUAUUAUGCGUACUUGCUCGCCGAGCGAGAGUCGCCGGGGGAUGAGCGUCGGCCUCCAGCUCCAGGGCUCACUCCGCUCGCGCUCCUCCGCCACCACCGACCCGUAGGUCAGCUCCCCUCCUCUCCGCUCCUCUCCUCUCUUCUCUCCCCUGUUGCGCAGCUUUAAUCAUCGUCUGUUCAUGUUCUUGGACGCGGAUUGCGUUGCGAUGGGGCUCUUGGGCUGCGUUGCUUACUUGAUCCUCCGCCGCGUCUCUCUUGCUCCUGUUUGGGGGGUAUGAUGUUAGCUUCUGUGGACGAACGAAUCAGCGGGAGAGAGCUUGUUCAAUCGUCGGAAGGAUUGACUGGUAGUUUGUUGGAUUAGGGGGGAUGGAGAAAAGCAGGAGCAGCCGAGCUGCAGAAGUGUGGUUCCUCUGUGUUUCUGGUUAGCCUUGAUAUCAUAAACAUGUUUGGUGGCUGCGAUUAGCAAAUUUAGUAUGCUAGUUUUUUAGAUAAUGGAGGAGGAGUAUCCCGAGAACCCCUUUUCUGGAAUUUGUUCAUACACCUUUUUGUUUAAAAAAAACAGGAACAUCCUUUAUCUUCUGGGGUUCUUGACGACUAGCGAAAGGAUAGUGUCUUGUCGCUGUUAAGCUGAUCUGGUAUCGUGAGCGGCAGGAGAAGGGGAGCUGCAAAUCCAUCUCGUGGCUUUUUCCAGUGGCCCGGUGGUUCUUGCGUUCUCGGCAGUCGGCACUGUCCACGUGCCAUGUCCGUGUCAGCAAAUUAUUCCCGACAUGAAAGACUCGAUGCACGGAAGAGGAUAGGAACAAAAAGGACGGGGGAAAGGUUACGGCUAAACAGCACGUCAGCACCGCUGCAAUCUCUUGAUCAUGGGGAGUACAGGAAAUGGGGAUCCGCUGAUCUGCAUUCCUUGGUUGUUUGUGGCUGAUGCCUUCUGAUGUUUGUUACCACUGUUAUCCUACUUUCGAUUAGGUUCUCCAUGUAGCUGUAGGUGUUUUCCUGAAAUGUUUGUGAACAUCGUUUAUUGAACUGUGCCGCGUUUUACAAAAACUGGAGUUUUUCUCAUGUCACUGAAGCGAAAACUUGAAGACCCCCAUCUGUUGGGGUGGGGUGGGUGGGGUGGAAUACAAAAUGAAAUCUUGCUUUAUAAAAGCAUACUACUGGAAAUUUCAGAUAGUAUCAGUUCACCUUUGCAUAAACGAAGUGUUAGUCAUCCUUUGUCCAAGUCCAUUUCCUCCAAAAUUUGGUUACCCCAAUCCCCAGUUUGAGAAACUAAGCUAUAUUGCUUUAUGAUCUCUCUGAUCCAUUUGCUGAAAAUAUUACAAACAUAUUAUUAUACUAAAACAGAAGAGCCUUACUUUACAUGUCCAAAUGAUAUAUGCGCUUUCAUUUUCUUGAGAAGAGUGACACUUUAAUAUUCCAUUCAUUUCAGAAUAUAAGGCGAAGCUUGACCCUAUGUGAUCACCAAAACUAAACUCUGGCCAUUUGUUUCUCUUAUAUUAUGUUGACCAUAGCUAAAGUAGACUUCAGUGCUAUCUGUUAGAUGAGUUGGCAUAUAAGAGCUAGCAACAGUUGCGGAUGCUCUAACAGCAGUACAGCACUGGUUCUGUUCAAUAGCCCAAAGGGUAAAUCCAUGAUGCCCUUGAUUUUAUCAUUUCUUGAUUAAAAGUACAGCAUGGAUCAGCUUAGGAUUCUUUUCCUAGCUAAACAGUACUUUUUGGGGGUGAAUGAAAAUGUGGCACACUGAUCGGAAGAUUAAAUAUUUAUCUGAAAGAUCUACUUUUGUGAUCCAUCUUUAGGCAGUCUACAAACAUGUAAAACUGCAUUUUUUUAAUAUAUUUUAUCAAGGCCUGGAAAAAAGAAAAGAAAAAUCCCUUUCAUGAUCUACUCUGCAACAGGGACUUGUCUUGUGCUUUGAGUCAUUAAAUAUGUUGUAGUACAUUAAUAAAAUCUUUCAUUUGGCAUCUAACUGGGGGUGCUGUAACUUUCUAUUUUACUGAUUUAUGCUCUCCGUUACCCAUUGACCAGUUCAGGCGGAGUGAUAUCCAGUGGAUAAGACCCUUUGAGUGGUCCAAGAGCUUGAGAUCGAGACAGAAAAUGUCUUCCUCGAGGCCUACUCAGUCUUCCACUUCAUCCAGCAGGACUCGCCAGAGCUCCCGAGCGAGGAUAUUAGCACAAACAACCCUUGAUGCUGAACUGAAUGCUGAGUAUGAAGAAUCUGGUGAUUCCUUUGAUUACUCCAAGUUGGUUGAAGCGCAGCGGACUGCUCCACCUGAGCAGCAAGGGCGUUCAGAGAAGGUCAUAGCCUACUUGCAGCACAUUCAGAGAGGAAAGCUAAUCCAACCAUUUGGUUGCUUGUUGGCCCUUGAUGAGAAGAGCUUCCGGGUCAUUGCAUUCAGUGAGAAUGCUCCAGAAAUGCUUACAACAGUCAGCCAUGCCGUGCCUAAUGUUGAUGGUCCCCCAAAGUUAGGAAUUGGCACCAAUGUGCGCUCCCUUUUCACUGACCCUGGUGCCACAGCACUGCAGAAGGCACUAGGAUUUGCUGACGUUUCUUUGCUGAAUCCUAUUCUAGUUCAAUGCAAGACCUCAGGCAAGCCAUUCUAUGCCAUUGUUCAUAGGGCAACUGGUUGUCUGGUGGUGGAUUUUGAGCCUGUGAAACCUACAGAAUUUCCUGCCACUGCUGCUGGGGCUUUGCAGUCUUACAAGCUUGCUGCUAAGGCAAUCUCCAAGAUCCAGUCACUACCAGGUGGGAGCAUGGAGGCCUUAUGCAAUACUGUGGUUAAGGAAGUCUUUGACCUUACAGGUUACGACAGGGUUAUGGCUUACAAGUUCCACGAAGAUGAGCAUGGGGAGGUCUUUGCCGAGAUCACAAAACCUGGUAUUGAGCCUUAUCUUGGCCUUCACUAUCCGGCCACUGAUAUCCCUCAAGCUGCCAGGUUUCUUUUCAUGAAGAACAAAGUACGAAUGAUCUGUGAUUGUCGUGCAAGAUCUGUGAAGAUUAUUGAAGACGAGGCACUCUCCAUUGAUAUUAGCUUGUGUGGUUCAACUCUUAGAGCACCACACAGUUGUCACCUUCAGUAUAUGGAGAACAUGAACUCAAUUGCAUCCCUUGUCAUGGCUGUUGUGGUCAAUGAAAAUGAAGAAGAUGAUGAACCCGAGCCUGAGCAACCACCACAGCAGCAGAAGAAGAAGAGGCUGUGGGGUCUCAUUGUUUGCCACCAUGAGAGCCCCAGAUAUGUCCCGUUUCCACUGCGCUAUGCUUGUGAAUUCUUAGCACAAGUGUUUGCUGUCCAUGUCAACAAGGAGUUUGAAUUAGAGAAGCAGAUACGAGAGAAAAGCAUUCUACGAAUGCAAACAAUGCUCUCUGACAUGCUAUUCAGGGAAGCAUCUCCCUUGAGUAUCAUAUCUGGGAGUCCAAAUAUCAUGGACCUAGUUAGAUGUGAUGGUGCUGCUCUUUUGUAUGGGGACAAAGUAUGGCGCCUCCAAACGGCUCCAACUGAGUCUCAGAUACGUGAUAUUGCUUUCUGGCUUUCAGAAGUUCAUAGGGAUUCCACUGGCUUGAGUACUGACAGCCUCCAGGAUGCUGGAUAUCCAGGAGCUGCCUCCCUUGGUGACAUGAUUUGUGGAAUGGCAGUGGCUAAGAUAACUUCCAAGGAUGUUCUUUUCUGGUUCAGGUUACAUACAGCUGCUGAAAUCAAAUGGGGAGGUGCAAAGCAUGAUCCAUCUGAUAAGGACGACAACAGAAGGAUGCACCCAAGGUUGUCCUUCAAGGCAUUCCUUGAGGUUGUCAAGAUGAAGAGUUUGCCAUGGAAUGACUAUGAGAUGGAUGCUAUUCACUCAUUGCAACUUAUACUUAGAGGUACACUGACUGAUGCCAUGAAGCCGGCCCGGACAUCUGUUUUAGAUAACCAGAUUGGUGACCUCAAACUUGAUGGGCUUGCUGAAUUGCAGGCAGUGACAAGUGAAAUGGUUCGCCUAAUGGAAACAGCAACUGUUCCGAUCUUGGCAGUAGAUGGCAAUGGAUUGGUCAAUGGAUGGAAUCAAAAGGUAGCAGAAUUGACGGGAUUGAGAGUUGAUGAGGCUAUAGGAAGACACAUACUUACACUUGUGGAGGAUUCUUCUGUAUCAACUGUUCAGAGGAUGCUAUACUUAGCUCUACAGGGUGAGUGGAUUCAUUCUAGUUGCUUUGGUAUAUUUCUAAUAUUUUUAGUUUUUAUUCUUAUCUGACAACAUUAUUUAUCGACCCCCACCCCACAGACACACACAAAAACACUAGGGUCUUAAGCACCUAUUUUUUUAUCUGCUACAUUUGAUCAUCAAUUCUUACAAUUAGUAGUCAACCCUCACAAAAGAACUAAAUAAUUUAUUACUAUUAUGUAUUAACUUCUAAGUAUUUCAUCAAUUGAGCAGGCAGAGAAGAGAAGGAGGUUCGGUUUGAGUUGAAAACACAUGGCUCCAAGAGGGAUGAUGGCCCUGUUAUCUUGGUUGUAAAUGCUUGUGCCAGUCGUGACCUUCAUGACCACGUUGUUGGGGUGUGCUUUGUAGCCCAAGAUAUGACUGUUCAUAAGUUGGUCAUGGAUAAAUUCACUCGUGUUGAAGGGGACUACAAGGCAAUCGUUCACAACCCGAACCCACUCAUUCCUCCCAUAUUUGGUGCUGACCAAUUUGGGUGGUGCUCUGAGUGGAAUGCAGCCAUGACCAAGCUUACUGGGUGGCACAGAGAUGAUGUGAUUGAUAAGAUGCUCCUUGGUGAGGUUUUUGAUAGCAGCAAUGCUUCAUGCCUUUUGAAGAACAAAGACGCAUUUGUGCAUCUCUGCAUCAUCAUCAACAGUGCAUUAGCCGGUGACGAGGCAGAAAAGGCUCCAUUUGGCUUCUUUGACCGGAAUGGGAAGUACAUUGAGUGUCUUCUUUCAGUGAACAGAAAAGUAAAUGCAGAUGGUGUUGUCACCGGAGUGUUCUGUUUCAUUCAUGUUCCUAGUGAUGAGCUGCAGCAUGCACUACAUGUGCAGCAAGCCUCGGAGCAGACAGCAGUAAGGAGGUUGAAGGCUUUCUCGUACAUGCGACAUGCCAUAAACAAACCUCUCUCAGGUAUGCUUUAUUCUAGGGAAGCGCUCAAGAGCACAGGUCUGAAUGAAGAGCAGAUGAGGCAGGUCCAUGUCGCGGAUAGUUGUCAUCACCAGCUAAACAAGAUACUUACCGACUUGGAUCAAGAUAACAUAACUGACAAGUAAACUUCUAAACUGUUCUACUAGGUUCUUGUAAUUUCCUCUACAUUUAUUACUUGUCAGUUUUCUGACAGUAGGUUAAUGGUGUCACUCUAUGAUUUAUUUUCUCUAAAUACUGAAGCUUAUAAUCAUAUGAGUUACUAUAAACUCAAUAUUUCUCUAUCAUUGUGCCCACAGGUCAAGUAGUUUGGAUUUGGAUAUGGCUGAAUUUGUGUUGCAAGAUGUGGUGGUGGCUGCAGUCAGUCAAGUACUGAUAGGUUGCCAGGGUAAAGGGAUCAGAGUUUCUUGCAAUCUGCCAGAGAGAUUCAUGAAGCAAAAAGUGUACGGCGAUGGUAUUCGGCUCCAGCAGAUCCUCUCUGACUUCCUAUUUGUUUCAGUGAAGUUCUCUCCUGUUGGAGGUUCUGUUGAUAUCUCUUCCAAACUGACUAAGAACAGCAUUGGAGAAAAUCUCCAUCUCAUAGACCUGGAGCUAAGGUACCACUGGCCCUGGCCGCUCAAUUUUUCAUGCAUUGACUUGUUGCUGAUAAUUAAUUUCUGAAGCAUGAAUGCUUAAAGUAAAAUUACUCUUGUGUUUAUGGAUUUUCAGCAUAAAGCAGCAGGGAACAGGAGUCCCAGCAGAAAUAAUAUCACAAAUGUAUGAGGAGGAGAAUAAGGAACAAUCAGAAGAGGGCUUGAGCCUUCUUGUUUCUAGAAACCUUCUGAGGCUCAUGAAUGGUGAUAUUCGUCACAUGAGGGAAGCUGGCAUGUCAACAUUCAUCCUUACCGCUGAACUUGCCUCUGCCCCUACCGCCCCUGGACAAUGAAGCCAACACUGCAACGAGUGGUUAUCAAAUGGUAUGUUCACUAGUUUGUAAACGGGCUUAGUUUAUCUGCUGUGUUUGCUUUCACUCAACUGCUGGCUGUGUAGCUUCUUACUUUCUUGAUUUUUACUCUGUUACACCCACACUAAGGGUUUGUUCAGUUAAUCCCCUCUCAAAUCUCAAUCAUCUUCGAUCCACAUCAAACCGAACAAGCCCUAAAGGGUGUUCUGUGGCUGAUACUUGCCACGAGAAUGUAACCUUGAAUUGCUUAGCUAAGGAUGAAAUAUUCUACUAUUUCCCAAAUAUCCUACUAUCACUAUAUGACGAAUGAAUAAUAUUUCCUAAAAUAAAAACUACGCCUAUAUGAUAAAUGAAUAAUAUACCCAUGUUGUUUCAGUAUGAAGAGGUAAAGAUGGAUGGAUCUACUGCAUAUUCAGGGAAAAUUAAUACAUCAGAGGAUAACAAUUGUGCCUGAUUCUGAUUGAUGGGUUCAUCUAUAUUGAUAUGUAUUUUGUUUCAUGUGCUUUUCUUUAAGCAAUUUCCAGUUUCCAGUAGUAACCAACGCAAACCUUUUGCUAAAGAAUUUUAUUUCUGUUCUUGAUGCCAGGUCUCUUUUGAGUUCAUUCGGAAAGCCAGGUAGUUCGUGGAGAUGGGAAUGCUGCAGCCUGUAGAGCCACUGAAUGCAUAAAUAAGAUUGACUUGUAUGGUUGUUUGUCAGGGGAAAAAAAUGUUGUACGGGCAUAGAAGGUUCUGUACUUCUGCCAUGUUUCUACAUGUUAUCCAACUGUGUAGGUUUUCUUUCAGCAGCGAAAAAUUCCUACCGUGUAAGUUUCAAGUUCAAGUUAACAUGAAUAAAGUGUCAAAUUUAGCUGCAGAUAGGUGUCCUCUUUCUGCUUAUCAGCCCAUGCGCCGUGCUUGUGCUGGUACAGUGUACUUGGUGUGGUGUAACUGUGUAAGUUGACGUACCACAUUGCUGCCAGAUCAGAUGGUUCUCAUAGAAAUGUUCAAAUUUCAGAUUGCGCAGAAAUGUUUCUUCAAGGUUCAUGUUGCGCAUGAAAUGUGUUCAGAAGUUCAGAUGUGUAACCGUAUUAUUGUCGAGAAGCAACUGUUCUCUGAAACCACACCAGCAUAGGCUGCAACCUGCAACUACAGGUGCAAGCACGACACUUAACAAAUCGAAAGUAACUAGCCAAGGGGCAGGACCUCCGUACCAAACGCGCGGACCGGAGCCAGAGCUCGAAGACUCUCGGAGUCGCCAGCGGUGGCGGGCGGCCUUGGUCCAUCCGCCGGCUCCAUGCCCUGGCGCCUCCUUCGGAGGAUCUCGUCUCCCACGGUCCCACCUCCUUAGCAUUCCGGUGACGGGGCUCCGUGACGGCGAAAACCGCAGCCGCUAUUGCCGGCCACGGUGACGUCGCUCCGGCGGCGGGUCAUCGAGGCGGGCUCGGGGUGACCACCGCAGCCGCCAUCGUCGCCCAUGAAGAGGUCCCGUUGCGGAUAAGCGGCGGCGGGCGCAGAUCUUAUUGAACUCGAUCCGGGUCGCACGGCUUCGAUCUGACGGUAGAAGGCUGCCCACCUCAUGGUGGACUGAGGUCGACAGGUUCUUUUUUAGAGAUCCCGCCCACGUGGCGCGGUUUUGGACGCAGCACCGGAGUGAAGCAAGUGACCAAAACUGGCUGCAUCAGCAGAAGCAAUCUGAACCUGCAUCAAAUACAAUCCGUUAUCCGGUGCAUAUAACCAGCUUCCAAGGAGGCAAGGAGUUCAUAUCUAGGUGGGAGAGAUUUUGAAGCACGAUUUGUGCCUGAAACACAUGGGGACAUGGAACCUUCUUGCAAGGGAGUCGAUCAAAGAAGCCCAAAAUGGUGGCUCUGUAACCUAACUCGACGUCCAAGAUCGGCCUAAACACCACCGGAAUGGCACCAUGACAGCGACCUGAGCUCCCGACGAAGAGAGGCUGGCCGGCCGGCGCAGGCCUAACACGCGCGGAAUUCACACCACACGCACGCCGAGCACAUGCGCUGCAUUGCCCACACGUUUGCUCCCUCCGAUGUCCGCUCGUGAACGCGGCGGCUCCGAUCCCUAUAAAUCUUUGCGCAUGCCGAACGCUACUGGCACCAAGCCAAGAGCUCUCAAGCAUCAUCCCCUCAUCCUGUGCUGCUGCUCAGGGGGAGAGGAAGAGCGAAACAGAGACACACGGACGCAGAUCGAGACAGAGAGAGAGAGAGAUAAGAAAGACGAUCAUGCCAGCGGCGGCGAGGUCGAUUGUGAUGGCGGGGAAGAAGACCCGGAAGCCGUACACCAUCACCAGGCCGCGGGAGAGGUGGGCCGCCGACGAGCACGACCGGUUCCUCCACGCCUUGGUGCUGUUCGGCCGCGAUUGGAAGAGGAUUGAGGCCUUCGUCGCCACCAAGACCUCCACGCAGAUACGCAGCCACGCCCAGAAGCACUUCCUCAAGGCGCAGAAGCUUGGCAUCGCGCCGCCGCCGCCGCACCCUCGCCUCGCCGCGGUCCUUGCUCAGCCACCCGUCAGCUGCCCGCCGGCGUGGUUUCCUGGCGACGCCAUGGCGCGAAGCGACGAGACGCUGAUUCAGCUCCCGUUGUCUCCGGAUGAACUGUACUUCGCUCAGGUGUACAGGUUCGUUGGCGACAUCUUCGGCUCUGACGCGCCGCAGCCGGUCGAGACACAGCUGCAGAGGCUGGUCGGCGCGGACCCUGUCAUUGUGGACACCAUCUUGCGGGUCCUAGGAAACCUCGAAGAAAACCUGUCUCUUUGGGACGUGUGAACGGGACACUCGUUACCCUUAAUACCGGUUGGUUUUUUUGACCCUGUACUAAUGUGAGUAUUAGUACUGACGGCUAGUUCUUUCUUUAGAAGUCCCCCGUGACCCAUUUUAGUACUGGUUGGGAGCUCCACCCGGUACUAAUGGGUGAUAUUAGUACCGGGCGGAACCUCCACCCAGUGCUGAAGGUCCUCAGGCACAUUAGUACCGGGUACUAAUUGGUGACCUUUAGUACUGAUUGGAGUUACCAACCGGUACUAAAGGAACUCCCAUACCCUAUCGCCCCACGCCUUAUCCAUCUCCCCACCCAUUCCCAUCUCUCUAUCUCCCCACCCGCUCCCAUCUCUCUAUCCUCUCUCUAUCUGUCCGGCAGUCGCUCCCGUCUCUCUGCCCUCUCUCUAUCUGUCCAGCGGCGGGAGGGAGGUCGGCGGGGCCGGGCAAGGAGCGGUGGCGGGGUGGCGGGUGGGCGGCGGUGGGAGGGCGGCGGCGACGGACGACUGCAGCGGGAGGGCGGCGGUGGGGUGGCGGACGGCGGCGGCGGGGCGACGGGUGGGUGGCGGACGGCGGCGGGGCGGUGGACGGCGGCGGGUGGGCGGCGGCGGCGGAGGGCGGCGGCGGGAGGACGACAGCGGAGGGCUGCGGUAUUUUUUUAUUUUUUUUAAUAUCCUUUAGUACCGAUUAUUUGAUCCGGUACUAAAGGCGGUAGCAAUACCGGUACUAAAGGGGUAGCAAUACCGGUACUAAAGGGGACUGAAGCCGCUUUCCCCAGUAGUGCAGGUAUGGUUGUGCUUAUUAUUAACACAUUUUGUAACGUGUACAAAGCUAGCAAUUUUAAGAUAUUUAUAAGUUCAUGAAAAAUUGGCUCUACUCCAACACAUGGGGCUUCUUAUAAACAUCUCAUGGUUUGUCGUAUGGAAAUUUACAUUCAUUGAGGUUAUCACUGAAAUAUCAUAUCAUACCCUUAUUCAAAACAACAAUCGGAUAAUGUUUGUUUUCACGUACAGAUGAUAUGUACCAAGUGGUGUUUCAAAAAAAAACUAUACUAAAUGGUAGAGUAUAAAGAAGCAAAUCUCAUAUCUGACCCAAAACGACAAUAAUGAAAGCGUAAAUAUUUUUAUGAAUUUUUAGUGUUUAAGCCCACUCAAGCAUACUUUUCAAUCCGGGCGUGUUACGCUCUCUAUAUGUUUUCUAGUACUCUUACCUAUACUCUUUAAUCAAUGACUGAAACUAAAUUGGUACUUUCAUGGAAAUUAAAUGUUACUAGUUCAUCAACUCAUGUUAUUCAAAAUUGCUUAUUUAACACGUCUUUUCUUAUCAGUUCAUAUUCUAAGUUCUAACACAAUAAUCAUCAAUAUUUUCUUAGCAUUAUUGGGUUGUGAUAUACAUUGAUUACCAAUCGCUUUGUGAUUUUCUAUUCUCAUUCAUAUGAUUUUUUUUUGUUUUGCAACAAUCUCCAUGUGUGUUUGACGUCUUUUAGUUGAAACCUUAGUUUUAGCUAUGCGUUUAAUAAGGAAAUAGGUAUGCUCAACCCUUUUUACAUACAGGUAUAACAUAUAUGUGUUUUUUAUGGUGACACACAUCAUGCAUAUGUGUACGCUAAGUAAACUUUUUAUAUCAACAAUAACAUAAAAGUGUGCAGUAAUUUAGAAGCACAGACACAUAGUAAUUUGGGGUAUUUUUUAAUCACAGAGGCAGGUAGUUUAGAUGCAUAUUUAGGUUAGUUUAAUUUAUUUUUAAUAAUGAAGGAUGUGGUAAGUCAAUGCAAAUUUAGAGCUUAUUUAAAAAUUAUUUUCUAUAAUAACAUAGGUGGGUAAUUUAGAUGAAGAUUAGGGUUUUAGAUUGCAAAGCUAAUUAAUUUAUAUUUAGAAUUAGGAGGAAGACUAUUUUUUUAUAAUGAUGGAGGUGAGUAAUUUUUAAAGAAACGAUGAUAAAGGUCCAUUGCAAUGACGUUCGGAUCUCUAUGAUCUUUGUAGCGUGUUUCAAGAGGAUUGACAUAGAAAAUUCAAACUAGUACUCCCUCCGUUCCAAACUAUGAGUCGUUUUGACUUUUCUAAAUGCAUAAGUAUUAUUAUACAUCUAAACAUAGGGUAUAUCUAAGUGUAUAAUAAAAGUUUAUAAAUUAAAAAAGUUAAAACGAUAAAAAAUCUAGACUUUUCAAAUUUGGGACGGAGGGAGUAACAUAGAAUUAUAUGCCGACUAACACAAAUGCACAACGAUAUAGUGUAUCGGUGUAUGUGUAUUCCCUUUACAUAUGUUCAUUUAUCAUUCGUUAAAAAAAAAAGAUGUAAGAUCGACUUGCUACUUUGUACAGCCGUACAGGCGAAUGAGAAUGGUGGCAGAACCUUGAACGAGUUCCUCAUGGCGGGGCACAUCCAUCACGAUCUAUACCUGCAACACAUGGAAGUACGGCAAGCAGAUGCAUCAAAGAAGCUCGAAAUGCUGCGUCUUUCACCGAACUCUACUUCCCAAAUCGGCCUAAUACCCCACGGCAUCGCAGGUUCGCAACAGCGCUUGAGCUCCCCUCGCAGUGCCGGCCAGCGCCUGCCUAACACGCGCGCAAUUCGCACCCGCGUAAUCCCCCACGCACGGCGAGCACAUGCGCUGAAUCGGCCACACGUUUUCUGCAUCCCAUGUUCGCUCAUGAGCGCGGCUUCGAUCCCUAUAUAUGUUCACGCACACACUGAACACCGGCGCCAACUCGAGAACUCUGAAGACUCAGCUCUCACCUCCUACGGGGUUCUACCUCUGCUUCUUCUGCUGCUCGAUCAGGAAGAGAGACAGACAGAGUGAAAGCGAGAGAGAUAUAUAUACGAUGAUGAUGGCAGCGCCGGCGAAGUCAAUCGGGAUGGCCGGGAAGAAGACCCGGAAGCCGUACACCAUCACAAGGCCGCGGGAGAGGUGGGUCGCCGAAGAGCACGACCGGUUCCUCCACGCCCUGGUGCUGUUCGGCCGCGACUGGAAGAGGAUCGAGGCCUUCGUGGCCACCAAGACGUCCACGCAGAUCCGCAGCCACGCCCAGAAGCACUUCCUCAGGGCCCAGAAACUCGGCCUCUCGGUGGCGCCGCUGCCGCACCCUCGCCGCGCCGCCGCCGCCGGCGUCCGCCAGGCAGACGAGACGAUUCAACUUCCACUGUCUCCGGAUGAUCCGCACUUCGCUCUGGUGUGCAGGUUCGUCAUUUUUGGCACCAAUUGGAUAUUUUUCCAGUUUGAAAUAUGAAUUUUUAAAUUAAAUCUAAUCUUUUUAAACUUCUACAAAAUGCAAAACCACUCUUGGAACCAUCCAAAGGGCCAAAUUUGCCCAGUUUUAACAGUUAGAUGGUCCUCUAUGUCCAGUUUUAUAGCUGUGGGUUGAAAAUCAAACUCCUACUGCAGUUGAAGGGCCAAAAUUGGAUUUUUUUUCUUUUUGAGAAUAAGUUCGCACAGGAAUUGGGCAUACGUUUACAUUUGCGAUUUGAAAAAGAAAUGAUUUGCCUUAGAUUGAUAAAAUAUGUUUCCUGUCCCUCAAUUAUUCCAUCAGUUUAAAUUUUUAUUCCUCGAUUCGAACACGACAGAAACCAGAUAUCAAAACCAGAUUAUACCACCAUAUGACUCCACGGCUCCGCACCCCAUCUCUCCAUUUCAACUAUAAACUGAAUUGAAAUGAAAUUAUUUUUAAGUGGGUGCAUCAUAGCAUUUGCCUAAAACCAUCCUCACUUAUACUAAGACAAAUAUUUUAAGAAACUUCUUAAGCCUAUUUUAGUUGGUUGAAGACGUAGAUGUGUGCACCUUUGUCAAGUUGAAUUUCCGCUGCAUAUUUUUUUCUUAAUAAAAAAGCCACCCAGUUCUUCCUAGGUGGCUAGGUUGGUUUAUUUGUUAGAUAAAAUAUUCUUUCUAAUUCCAAACCUAUGUCUCCUCACUCGAGGGCUCUUAGGAAAAGGCCGAACCACUCAGUACACAUAUUCACAUCAUGAAAUAAUAGAUUUCAGAUAAAAAGUAUACUAGCACAUAUUCACAUCAUGAUAGAUUAGAUUCUAGAUUUAGGAUAUAAAGUAUACUAUCACAUAUUCAUUCUUGAGCGCGAGAAGAUAGGGCAAGGUAAUGCGGAGAAUGCUACGACUUUUAUAUGUUUUAAUCGGGAUGGCAUGUAUCAUUUCUUAUAAGGGUUAGGGUGCAGAGAGAGUGCGCGCGCUAGCCUAGCUAUUGGCGGAGGGAAGGGAGGCAACUGAAGCUUUUAGAGUUGUGUUUAGGUCUUCUUUUUGCUUACCAGAAUCCAUCAACAGGGGUUUCAUAAGGAGGUAAUUAUUCCAUACAUCAAGUUAUAGUGAAAUUACCAACCGGACUGGCUUUCUCUAAGAAAGGAUUUUGUCUUUUCCGCUUCAUCGCGCAAAGAAAAAAAUUAGAGGGCACGCUUGGUACCUGGGCCACCCUCGCCUCGCGUCAAAUCCCUCUCCCUCGGAAGCAAGCAAAAAGUUUGUCGUCACAGACUCCAAGAAAAACUUGAUCAGAAACCAAAUGCUAAUUUUCUUGCUAGCUAAGCAAACCAAGGUCCGGCUAGGGAUCCAAGUGCCCCAGAAUCUCUUCAACGGCUCCACCCAGGAAUAGAGACCUCACGACUAACCUCAUUCCUCGCUUCAUAAACACAUUGUUUAAUUACCCUUAAUUGUGUUUUUAGACCUAUGGCAUCUAGAUCAACGAAAAUGCUCAUCUUGUGGAUUAUGCACUCAACAGGGGUCCAGUACGCUGUGCGCGUGGGACAGGACCGUUGGGCUCAGCCUGAACCUGCAACAUGCAGGUGCAGCGUGCAGGCAAAGAGCAUCCAGUCCAAGUACCCCACCUGACACCGACUGCGAGAGGCUUUGCAUAAUUGCAUCGCAUCGCAGCCGCCGCAUUCAAGGAGAUCACGGCGGCCAUGUGAGAUCGAACCCCCAGAGCACGCAAGUUUUUAAAAAAAAACAGUGCAGGCCGGCGGCAGAAAAACUCAUUCUGGGUUGGCCUGAAAACACUGGGCAGCUGUACCACGGCUGUCUUUUUUUUUGUUGAACUUAUCUGUACUAUCGCUGUCGCAAUUCGAUUACUGUUUAAGGGACGUUCGCUGUUGUCCGCUCACAAGCCUACAACUCGAUGCCGUUCAACCGGCGGUCCCAACCCUACGAGUCACGUACUCCCUCCCUUCGUUUCAUAAAGAUUGUUCAUUUACACUUAAAAUUUAUCUUACAAAAUCAUUCGUUUAGCCUUCAAAAUUUAUCCCAUAAAAAUUAUUUAUAUAACUUUUAGGAUCCAACAAAACCCUCAUAAUAUCUUGUGAUCCAAUUAACGAAUCGAUCAUUUACUCCCACCAUCAAUGCCCGAGUUAUACUCGCUAAACAAGGAAGGCUAAUAGGUCUGACAAUUACUGCAAACAUGCAUGCAUAAUUAAUUCUACUUGGUAAUCCAUCCGAUUAAGAAGAGUUAUUAGGGGUACUUUGGACUUUUAGCAUUGCUACUAUCUUGUCUAAAAUUUUUUAAACGAAUGGUCUUUGUGGGACAGAGGGAGUCAUUAAAUAGGCCGUUAUGUCAGCAAAUCGGUGACGUGGUAAGAGAGUUAUUAAGGAAAGAGAGAGAAACGGUUUCUAAGAGAGAAAUUGAGUCGGCGCUCGCUUCGAGGCACGAAGACACAGCCAAAGCCGCGAGGGGUUGAGCGGUGAUUUCUUCCUAACACAAUUUGUGGGGCCCUCCAUCGGGAGCUCGCUCCCAACCUUUAUCCUCGUCAGAACGCCGCAUUUGCGGGUCACUCCCCGGUGCUGCUGAUCUGAAAGGAUCGUGUGAUGUCUAGAGGGGGGUGAAUAGACUCGAUCUGAACAUCUGAAAAUUCUUCGCAGCGGAAUUAAAUACGUCGGAACUUCGGUUACAGGGGCGGAACUUCCGACGGAGUAAAAGGAUUCUACGAAAUUCAAAUUUAAAUAGGUUUCAGCAGAAUCUAUUUGAAUCAAAAGUUCAGCAAUAAAGUAUAGGGACUAUUGCAGGUGAUCUUUAUGAGAGAAACUUCACAAGAAUAUAAAUCGGCACAAAUCAAGCUCUAGGUCAAUAAGAACUUGAAUAACACAACAAGCACACGAGACAAAUGAUUUAUUUACCGAAGUUCACUCCCACAAAGGAAGCUACGUCUCCGUUGAGGAGCUCACAAAGAGCCGGGUCCUCACUAACUCUUUACCUCUCUCAAUCAACCACAAAGGAGGAUUGAGACACUUACUAUGAAUCCUCCAAUAGGAUGAGCAAUACAAACUUUCCGGGCGCACCAGCACCACAACAAGAGGGCGCUCAAACUGGCGAUGUCGAACCGUCUAGAAGCAAGCUUUAAGAGUAACAACUACGAAUUGAAGAUCGAAGAUGCUUCAAGUGCUCUUGAGAUGAACUUGGUUGACCUCACACUCAAAGCUAGAGUCACACACCUCAAAUCCUUCUCUCACCCAAGCCCUAGCUCAAAACUCUCAAAGAUUUAGCUUAAGGAGGAAGUGAGGAGGAGUAUUGAAUGCUCUUGGAGGUGUUUGUCUCGUGUUAGGUUAGCAGCAAAUGAAGAGGGGGCUGAUGGCCUAUAAAUGCUCGAGCCCCAAAAACUAGCCGUUGUUGUGUUGUUAAGUGAUUGUCGAAACUUCUGACACCGGGUUGGAACUUCCGAACCUGAUCAAUUAAAUCCGCUGAGCAACCUCUGUCGGAAGUUACUGGGAACUUCCGGCACUUGCCGGAACUUCUGACACCUAGUCGGAACUUCCGACAAAUGCAAAAUCUGUGAGAAACUACAUGUGCAUGGGUGUGAUUAAGGUAUCUCUCAUAGGUGGUUAGUAUCUCAAAUGAGCACUCUGACAUCUUCAAGUCAACAAGUCGCGUCCCCCUUCAUAGUAUGGUGUUCCUAUACUCAAAUUCAAAAUUAGAAAAUGAUAAACGAACUUCUCUUAAGCUCCAACACCGUUAUUCAACAAAUUCGAGGUACUUUCUUGCAUCUUUUUAUUUCUUUUGUUUUGAGACUAUCAAUUUCUCAAUAAAAUCACUAGUUCAUCAAAACCCACUUAGAGGGCCAAGAUGCACUUUGCACGCUCGCCGCAGCUACCCACGUGCUUGUCAUGGCCAGCCGGUAUUGCCCCGGACACCGUCCUCUCCAAGUUGAGGUCGAGGAGCUCAUCUGGUGCUGGCCGCCGUGAGUCGCACCAUCGAUCGCGGCGUAUCCUCCCGCGCGCGCAACCUGCAACUCACGCCGCCGCCUGUUCAUGGCUGAUCGACGGAGGUGAGAUCGGGAAGAGAUGGACUGGCACCCCCUUGAGCUCACCAUGGCCAUGCCACCACCUGCGCUCCGUGGGACCCUGCACAGCUGCUCCUGCGCCGCUCGCAUAGCCUUGCCGCCUCUCCGGAUCGACACAGUGUCAUCUCGCGUGCACUCGCCGCCCUUGGUCAUCAUAGCUAGCACAAAGUGGACGGGAUGCACCGCCCGUGCAUAGCCGGGGCUCACCUCGUCCUCGCCGCAUCCCCGCCGUGGCCUCUUCAUCGAGCACACUGAUGGACGCUGCUGCAACUUGCCUACGGCCCCGCUUGCCGGCGCGCAUCCUCGCCGCCUACAUGUAGACCCUGGCAUGCAUGCUCCGCGCGUGCAAACCUAUGACUGUUGCUCCAUGAUGAAAUCCACCACCAUUGCAACUGAUUUUAACAAGUUUUGCAUUGGAUUGGAGAGGGGCAAAGAAAGAGGCGAUGGGAGAGAGGACACGAGGGAGACGACGGUAGAAGGACGACACGAGAGAAAAUGUUGAUGGAAUUUACUGCAGGCCCACUUGGAGAAAAUCUGGGUUGGGUGAUACAAUUUCUACGAAUUUAGCAGUAUGGACACUAUGGUCCCCUUUGGCAAGGCUUCGGCUCCUCUCGUCCCCUUUGGCAAGGCUCCGGCUCCUCUUAAAAUGUGGAGGAGCUGGAGGAGCUAAUUUUUUUCCUCCAACUUCUCGAUAGAAAAUGGCUUCGACUCCUUAGUGCUCCACGUGUGGAGUUGUUUGUAGCUUCUCUGUUUGGUAUCUAGUGCUCCACGUGUGGAGCCAUUUUUAACUUCUCUGUUUGGUAAGGCUCCAGCAGAAACUGCAGGAAAAGCAAGAGCCAAAGCACUACUAAGUACCCAGGGGACUCUACAUGUAGAACUGUAUGUUAGGACUGCCCUAACGGCACGAAAGAAAAAACGGUUGGGAAUCACCAGACGAAACGUACGGGUCUAGAUAAACCUACGACAGUAGUAGGCGGUGUAGAGUUGCCGGUCCGCGUCCGAGCUCAACGACUCGUGUUUGGUUCCUAUGACUUAUUUUUAGCACCCGUCACAUCGAAUGUUUAGAUACUAAUUAGAAGUAUUAAACGUAGACUAUUUACAAAACCCAUUACAUAAGUGGAGGCUAAACGGCGAGACGAAUCUAUUAAGCCUAAUUAGUCCAUGAUUUGACAAUGUGUUGCUAUAGUAAACAUUUGCUAAUGAUGGAUUAAUUAGGCUUAAUAGAUUCGUCUCGCCGUUUAGCCUCCACUUAUGUAAUGAGUUUUGUAAAUAGUCUACGUUUAAUACUCCUAAUUAGUAUCUAAACGUUCGAUGUGACACGUGCUAAAAAUAAGCAAACGGAACGAUCCCCUCAAAAGGCUUGAAACGCAGUGGCCUCUGGCCUCUGGGCUGUACGAACUGGUUUUAGUUCUGACCGGGGCCAAUCAGGUGCGCUGGUACGAGAAGGUGGUUGUCCGAUCUCAUUACUUGCGGCCACAGGCAACGGGAAAAGAGCGACAUCCCUCGCCGUCCAGCAGGACGGGACGGGACGGUUCAACGGUUGCCCGUUGGGUGCGUCCACUUUAAUAACAGUCGCACGAUUCUUUGACCAAUGCACUAUCGUUUUUCGAGUCCAACGAACCGAGGUUCCGGCAGUUGAACUGGAUUUUUAGUAGAUGGAUAAAAGAGCUAGUGGACAAACCGGAAGAUGGCGUAUAAUUGAACUUUAAUUCAAAAACGAGGUCCCAAGUAACGUCCUUCAAAGUGCUCACAGUGCUAUCACGGUAGCUUGUCCUGCUAACAGUGCUAGCACGGUAACUUAUCUGACACCGCCAUUCAAGAACUGACAAGAAUUCGCCCAGCUGGAAUCUGAAGCAGGCUCACCUGUUUUUUUUUAAAGUAAUACAAGUCUGUCCUUUGAACUUCCUUCCUCCCGCAAAGAGCGUGGUUUAUCCUAAAUCAAAUUAUUUUAAGUUUAACCAAAUUUCAAAGGGUAUCCUUUUAGGUUUAUCCUAAAUCAAAUUGUUUUGAGUUUGACAAAAUUUACAAUGAAGAGUAUCAAUAUUUAUAACACUAACUAGGUAUGCUAGAAAAUAUAUUUCAAAUUUGCUAGACAUCAAAAGUAUUGAUAUAUUUUUAUAUAAACUUGGUCAAACAUAAUAUGGUUUGACUUAGGACAUAAUUAAAGGAACACUUUUUGCGGGAUGGAGGAAGUAUUGCUUAAUGUACAAAAUCAAUUGCUUAUUACAACCAUUCUUGCUCUUUUCCAAAGCAAGAAUCGCAAGUGUAGCCAUGUCAUUGUCGGUCCAAAACUUACCGUGAAAUCCUCGUGCUGGGUUUUUGUUUUCCUGUUAUUCUCACCUUAUGAAUGUUUCGGACAGGGGAAAAGCUAGAUAAAAAUACAGGAGGUGCGUCACUUCAUAGCAUAUGUAGAAUAUUCAUGCUAAUGUGGUGAAAAUUUAGCGGUGAUAAGUGAUUGUGGAUUUUUUUCGGUGUGGUCGCUCCGCCCUUGGUUUCGGCCUCUUUCUAGUAUCGCUCCAUCUUUAUCUGGUUCCUCUUCGUGCUGGUUGUAAACUUCGGCAUGUUCGGUUGGACUUAUAAGCCGGCUGAAAAGCUGAAACGACUGAUUUGUUGUGAGAGAAAAAUAUUGUUCGGUGGCUGAUAAGCUGAAGGAAGCCUUGUUUGUCCACCGUCAUUGUACUAUACUUUUAAUAAAUACAUGCUCGGGCAUGUUUUUUUUUAAAAGAAAUUCCUCGGUUGCUUAUAUUACGAUAUGACACGUUUAUUGUCAACUCCCUGACCCAAGAGCUGACAAUAUUUGCACCAAAUAAACUCAACUCAUACCACUACAACAAAUACGAUCUGUCACAAACAAAAGAAAAACAGAUCUGCCUUGCAAUGUUUUCAAUAAGAAAAGGACGGGCGACCGUUCCGUUGUCUCGGACUCUUGGUGAUAGAAAAUCCUUACAGGACCCGCACAGACCCCAGGUCGCACAAAGCACGGUUCACCUCCGCUCCGUCCAUUCCCCUCCCAGUCCCAGCCACGGAUCUCACUUCAGCUUCAGCCAGGGCUCAAGACCAGCCAGCCACUACGGCCGCACCCACACGGGACCAGGGGGAGAGUUUUGAACGCCCAAAUCUACGGGGUUUGCAACGUACUACGCGCACGAAAAAUAGCUUAUCUGCGCAGUGCCCCGCCCCGAUCCCCGCAGCCCAAGCGCAAGCGACCAAGACGGGACGAAAGCGAGAGAGAAAAAAAAACAUUUCCCAUUUCCCUUUCUUUUCCUUUCCUCGCUCUUUGCCUCUUUCCGGUCUCGCGCACGCACACCACCACCACCACCCCGAAUAUGCUGCCCCCAGCCGCGCCGGCCGCGCCCUGAUCCCCCCCCCACCCGAUGCGCCCUCCCCGCCUCCUGCUCCGCCGCCGCUGCCACGCCGCCGCCGGAUCCGCUCCCGCCCGGCCGCCCUACGCUCUCGGCGGCGCCGGGCCACGCUGACCGCCCGGGCCCACCCGCUGCCCCCACACCCCUCCCCGCUCCCCCUCCCGCCCCCUGCCUGCCCUCGUCGUGCCCGCGACCGGCGCGGGGUGCGGGGACGGCUGCUAGGGUUUCCGCGGCUCCCGCCACGCGGUUCCCCACGCGGAUUCGCGCUUGCCCUGCGGGUGCGGGUCCGCGCUUCGCCUAGGGGGUCCGGCCGCUUGGGUUACUUCGUCUCGCUGAGGUCCUGCCGCGCCGAGGAGCUCCCGGGAAGCUCGAUUCCUCGCGGGGUUUUCGAGGCGGGGGCGCCGAUCUGCGGCUGCCGGCACCGCGGCAUUGGGCGGCUUCCCAAGUCCCCGGGCGUCUGGAGCUUCGAUUCGGCCGGUUCCAAGGCACCGCCUUCAGCUCGUCUCCAGUCUCAGUGUAAGCAUUUCCUCGUAGGGCUCGCUUCUGGGCUAGUUGAUAUUGGAGGGAACCAUGUCGGAGAACAUCGAUCUGGUGCUCGAGUUCCUGCGCAAGAACAGGUUCGCCAAGGCGGAGGCUGCUCUCCGCGGGGAGCUCACUGGCCGGGGCGAUUCAAACGGCCCGACCACGCAGAGGCGUGUGGCGGAGCCGAAAGAGGACGAGGAGCGGGAUGACUCGGUGGGCUCCAAUGUAGGGCCCAAGGGCGCCACGUCAGUGAGGAGUGCGGACUCGUCGAGGGAGUUCAUCGUGAAGGAGAUCGAUGUGGGAGCUCUGCCGAAUGGGUCGGACGGAAGGAAGGGCUCCGGGAUUGGCCAGCCUCAGGAGAACAACAUGGGGGAUCUGUAUCCUUGGACCUUCACCAUUGCAAACAGCACUGCAGAACAGCUGGCCGAGCUUCUGGUGUCGGAGGAGGUGCCAAGACAUAGGCAGGGUGCGAUGAUGGCAGAGAAGAGGGAUCGAGGCGUUGGGACCGAGCAGCCUGGCCCGGUGCUCGAGCAAAAAGUCUCUUUUGGAAGAGGGAAGGGAAAAGUUGAUGCUGCUGGGAGAGCUGAAACCAAUGAACAGGGUCAUUCCAGGGAUAAAAAUCUGGUUCCAGAAAAAGAGGAGAACAUGAAUGGCUGCACAGUUAAAACAGUGCUUCCAUUCUCUGCAGAAAACCCGUCAUCUAGUUACAAUAGUGCACACCAUGAAAAUGAUCGGAAAGAAGUGAAGAAGAGCAUUAAUGCAGAUGGUGUUGCAAAAUCAGUGAAAGGACAGCUUGAUGAAGGGAACAGGCAAUAUUACUUUGAAAAGUCCCAGGAUACAGAUCAGGUGGCUGACCGCUGCUUCGAUCUGCAGCUUGUUGGAGAUAACCAGCGUGAAGAACUUCCCAAGUUACCCCCUGUGAGGCUCAAGUCUGAAGAUAAGUUAGUCAAUAUGAACUGGGAGGAAAAGAUCAAUCAUCAUGGAUCUGGAGCCAAGCAAUCUAGUGCUGCUGAUAAUGCCUUUAUGAUUGGAUCUUAUCUCGAUGUUCCAAUCGGGCAAGAAAUAACAUCUUCAGGUAUGUUGAUAGCGAGUUCAAUAGUGUAAGGUCAACAUGCUAUCUUUCAACAUAGUGCUGACUACUGAGUUCAAACCACUAGGCAAGCAGUGUUAUGGGGUGUUUAAUACGAUUUAUUCAUUCAGUUCUGUGCAAACAAGUGUCAAUGCAACAAUACUGGGAUCUAAUUCAAGUCAUUUUUUUUCUACAAAUCUAUCUUUGUUAUGUCAAAAAGGCUUUGGAAAUUGUGAAGUAUUUAUGUGUCGCCAUGCGAUGGUUGAUUUGUUCUGGAUUCCAUUGAGUUCUUGUGAUUAUUGUGCACUGUGCUGUUUGAAAAAAGAUCCAUUGUUCAAAAGUCGCUACAUAAUUUUGACUUUAGUUGUGUAGGCCAGAAAACUUGGACAUUCAGCUAAUGUUCAUGCAAUGUAUAUCAUAUUUGGGACUGACUAAGGACAUCAGUUGAUGUAGUUUAUUCCUCUACUUUUGUCAGAACAAAAAGAAACACAAAUCUUGCAUAUUGGUGUCAGUAGCACAUUACGGUCACUAACUUGUUCCUUCUCUUCAUUGACAUGGAUCCUUUAGUGCCACUAUCAUGCGACAAAAUUAUGAGGGUUUUUUUUUCCAGGAGUCUCAAGCACAUACUGAAUGAUCCUUUGUGUGUAGAUUAUUAGUGACUGUACAUGUUUUGUAAAUUAAUUAUUUACAUUAGUGUUCUCAUUCUUUUCCCCCUGUGAAGGAUCAUCGAUUGACAUUUCAUGUUUCUGUAAUUGUUUUGCUCUCCAUUCAUCUUCUAGGAAAUUUUGUUUCUAAAUUGUGAGGUGAUGACUCCAUAUGUUUUUAACGCUGAUUAUUUUACUUCAGACUUUAUCAGAGUGUUAUAUGUCUAGAUUUACUAAUUGUUUGGCUACUGAAACAUUGACCUCUGCAAUAACAUAUUCAGGUGGAAGACGCACAAUUGGCAGUAGUUGGUUGUCUGUCAGUCAAGGUAUUGCAGAGGAUACUUCUGACCUGGUAUCUGGUUUUGCAACAAUUGGUGAUGAUUCACUUGAAUAUCCAAUUGGUGAAUAUUGGGAUUCCGAUGAGUAUGAUGAUGAUGAUGAUGUUGGCUACACCCGACAGCCAAUUGAGGAUGAAACAUGGUUUCUAGCGCACGAGAUCGACUAUCCUAGCGACAAUGAGAAGGCAACUGGCCACACAAGAGGGCCUGAUCGACAUGAUCGCCCUACAAAGGACGAAGAUGAUGACCAGUCAUUCGUUGAGGAAGAUUCCUACAUAUCUGGUGAGCAAUAUUUUCAUGGAAAGAAUAUUGCACAAGUAGGCACUUCGGUGGGGCCAAUGGUGCAUGGAAUUCCGGAUAGUGAUAUGAUGGCUCAGUAUGAUGGUCAACUUUUAGACCCCGAAGAGCUUAAUUUAAUGCAUUCUGAACCAGUCUGGCAGGGCUUUGUGUCGCAGAACGGUGAAUUAGGUAUGUUAGGGAAUGGAAAGUUCCUUAAUGAUUCUGAACGACCUCAUCCUGAUGACCCUUUUGUGGAGGAUGAUCAGCAUGGCUCUGUUAGGUCAAUUGGUGUUGGGAUAAGCAGUGAUGCUGCUGACAUUGGAAGUGAGGUGCGGGAAAGUCUGAUUGGAGGUAGCAGUGAAGGGGAUAUUGAGUACUUCAAUGAGAGCAGCCUGAGUGUUAGUGGAAAAAGACAUUCUCAGCAGGAAACUGAAAAGAAGAGAGUAGGUGGUAAAGGAGCAAAACAUGACCAAAUCAAUUAUGCUGUUGAUAUGCAGAAGGUCAAUCUACCACCGGGAGCAGCUGACGGGGGAUUUUCUUUUCCUCCACCAUUGCAUUCUGGGAAAAAUCAUGACUCUGAUGCUAAAUCUUUGUGGUCAAAGAAGGAUGAAAUGUAUUGCAUUAACGAUCCCGAUGAAUGUCAAAAUGGCAUGGUAUCAGAUGAUAUGCUUGCCACAUGGAGAAAAAAGAAUAGCGAGUCUUCUCUAAGAAGCUCUAGAGAUGAAAUGACGUCUGACGUUGUUAGAUCAAGAAAUUCAAGUGCUUCGUAUGACGAAACGGAGGACACAGCGAACGUUCGGCAUCACAAACUAGACGACGCACAAGAAGAAGACACUGGAACCACCUUAGAUGACGAGGAGGCAGCAGCAUUGCAAGAGCAAGUCAGACAGAUAAAGGCGCAGGAGGAAGAGUUUGAAACUUUCAAUCUUAAGAUUGUGCAUAGAAAAAACAGGUACUUCUCUUUAAUGCUUGUUCCACCUUUUAAUUUCGGUAAAGCAUAAAAAAUGGUGCCGUGAUUUCCAGUUCUUUAUUAUUAUUCCACUGGUGCCUGUGUUCACCGUGCAACACCUACAGUUUCUUUUUUUUGGAGGAUUUUAUCUCUUCUAACAUUGUUUCCUGUUAACAAUAUAACAGAACUGGCUUUGAAGAAGACAAAAAUUUCCAUGUUGUUCUGAAUUCUGUCAUUGCUGGGCGUUAUCAUGUCUCAGAGUAUUUGGGUUCAGCUGCAUUCAGCAAAGCUAUCCAGGCACAUGAUUUGCACACAGGAAUGGAUGUGUGUGUUAAAAUAAUAAAAAAUAACAAAGAUUUUUUUGAUCAGAGCCUUGAUGAGAUCAAGCUUCUGAAGUAUGUUAACAAGCAUGAUCCUGCUGACAAGUACCACCUUUUGCGUCUGUAUGAUUACUUCUACUAUCGGGUAAUUUUUUUAGCUUUUACUCUUAAUAGAUCCUUUUCCAGUGUAAUUUGUUUCCGCUGGGUCUUGAAUUUAUCACAACUUCACUACAUGAUCACAUGUGUGAUCUCAAAGAGUUGCUGAGGAAUUAAAUAUUAAUGUUGCAUCAUGGCAUGUUUGAAAUUCUACUGGUUCUAUUCAAAUCUUGUACUUAACCCUUAACUGUCAAAUUGAGUGUUUCUAAAAUUAAAUGAUCUGGCUGGCAUGUAAUUUAUCCAGCACUCUACAUUUCUCUCUGUGGAUACCACAAUUCCGUUUUUUAUAUGCUCUACAACAUGUUACAGUUUAUAGAAUCCAGAUAUUUAAGGCACAUGUUAAUAUUAUCCCAAAUGGCUCACAUUUCUUGGUAUUCCUGUACAUUGAUGUUUGUGAAUCUGUGGCAUCACAUCUUAUAGCAAAUUCUGUCAUGUUUGGUUCAACACUUAUUUAUUUGGUGGGUUAUUUGUUUGUAAAUUUCAGAUUUACGUGAAUUUUGCCUUUUCAGUAUAAGUGCUUUGAAAUUCUUGAAGUCAAUCAAUUAGAAUGGCUAGAUAACUGCUUAUAAGCAUUUUAUGUGUGUGAAGAAGUUCGGGAUUGAAAAUUGAACUGAGCAUCAGUUAAGGGUUGAUAAAUUACCUUUACCAAAAAAAA